rnacentral:rRNA from 1 species
CGCUGGCGGCGUGCUUUAUACAUGCAAGUCGAACGAUGAAGUUCCUUCGGGAAUGGAUUAGUGGCGAACGGGUGAGGAACACGUGAGAAACCUGCCUUUCAUUCUGGGAUAACACCGGGAAACCGGUGCUAAUACCGGAUACUCCAUCUUGGCGGCAUCGCCGAGCUGGGAAAAAAUUUUGAUGAAAGAUGGUCUCGCGGCCUAUCAGCUAGUUGGUGAGGUAAAGGCUCACCAAGGCGACGACGGGUAGCCGGCCUGAGAGGGCGACCGGCCACACUGGGACUGAGACACGGCCCAGACUCCUACGGGAGGCAGCAGUAGGGAAUAUUGGGCAAUGGGCGAAAGCCUGACCCAGCGACGCCGCGUGAGGGAUGAAGGUCUUCGGAUUGUAAACCUCUUUCAGUAGGGAAGAAGCGAAAGUGACGGUACCUAAAGAAGAAGCACCGGCUAACUAUGUGCCAGCAGCCGCGGUAAUACAUAGGGUGCAAGCGUUGUCCGGAAUUAUUGGGCGUAAAGAGCUCGUAGGUCGUUUGUCGCGUCGAUUGUGAAAAUCUGAGGCUCAACCUCAGACCUGCAGUCGAUACGGGCAAACUAGAGUGUGGUAGGGGAGACUGGAAUUCCUGGUGUAGCGGUGGAAUGCGCAGAUAUCAGGAGGAACACCAAUGGCGAAGGCAGGUCUCUGGGCCAUAACUGACACUGAGGAGCGAAAGUGCGGGGAGCGAACAGGAUUAGAUACCCUGGUAGUCCGCACCGUAAACGGUGGGCACUAGUUGUGGGAACCUUCCACGGUUUCCGCGACGCAGCAAACGCAUUAAGUGCCCGCCUGGGGAGUAC